AUGAAAAAAAGUUGAUGUCUUCGUAUAUUUCUGGUGAUAUGGUCCAGAUGUCUCUACCAGAACUCCGUAAAGGUUCUGACUAUGAGGAUUUAUUUAUUACUA
rnacentral:ncRNA from 2 species